rnacentral:misc_RNA from 1 species
UAAUAAGUGUUUAUGGCACUUCUUAAAUCCAUAUCCACCUUGUGUGCAAUGUCAGCCGUUUUCUUUAUGAAAGCGGCCAAACAUCAACUUAUUUUUUAAACUGUCCGUCUGAAAACUAUUAUGAAUAAACAAUUCAAAUA